AUGGAGGCUUCACGCAAGCUCCUCUCGGCGGCGCUCCUCCUGGUGCUGCUGCUGGCGGGCACAGGGGAGAUGGGAGGCCCGGUGGCGGUGGCGGAGGCGCGGACGUGCGAGGCGAAGAGCCACAGGUUCAGGGGCCCCUGCGUGCGCCACCACAACUGCGCCAACGUCUGCAAGACCGAGGGCUUCCCCGGCGGCAAGUGCCGCGGCUUCCGCCAUCGCUGCUUCUGCACCACCCACUGCCGGCAGUAA
rnacentral:rRNA from 1 species